ACGGGUGAGUAACACGUGGGUGAUCUGCCCUGCACUUUGGGAUAAGCCUGGGAAACUGGGUCUAAUACCGAAUAUGACCGCGCACUUCCUGGUGUGUGGUGGAAAGCUUUUGCGGUGUGGGAUGGGCCCGCGGCCUAUCAGCUUGUUGGUGGGGUAAUGGCCUACCAAGGCGACGACGGGUAGCCGGCCUGAGAGGGUGACCGGCCACACUGGGACUGAGAUACGGCCCAGACUCCUACGGGGGGCAGCAGUGGGGAAUAUUGCACAAUGGGCGCAAGCCUGAUGCAGCGACGCCGCGUGAGGGAUGACGGCCUUCGGGUUGUAAACCUCUUUCAAUAGGGACGAAGCGCAAGUGACGGUACCUAUAGAAGAAGGACCGGCCAACUACGUGCCAGCAGCCGCGGUAAUACGUAGGGUCCGAGCGUUGUCCGGAAUUACUGGGCGUAAAGAGCUCGUAGGUGGUUUGUCGCGUUGUUCGUGAAAACUCACAGCUUAACUGUGGGCGUGCGGGUGAUACGGGCAGACUAGAGUACUGCAGGGGAGACUGGAAUUCCUGGUGUAGCGGUGGAAUGCGCAGA
rnacentral:rRNA from 1 species